CUUCCCUCCAGAGCUGCUGCUGCUGGUGCUGCCCGAGUUGCCACCAGAGUUGUUGGCUUUGGCGUUGGCUGCACGCUCCUGCUUACGAAACUUGGCACGCCUGUUCUGAAACCACACCUGUUCAACAGAGACAGAGACCCUCUGAUAAUAAAGCAGCAGCUCCCGUCCUACCUGAGGAGUAAGGUGUGGGCUGGUGCUCCCGCAGGGCUCCCAGGGUGCAGCUGGCCGUGCUGAGCGGAGUGCAGCCCGGGUUGGAGAAGGGUCCGCUCCGGAUCGGGUUGUACUGGAACGAGCUGGCCUGGCUGCAGGAGCUGAAGUCCGCGUAGGCCGACGCUUCCAUGGCCGCCAUGCAGGAGUCAUAGGAGUUCAGGGGGACCGUCACGUGACUGCCUUGCGGUAACCGGACGGCAUCCGGUUCAACGAAAGCCUCCAUGGGUUCACAAGAGGACCGAGAGUCUCAUCUGAGCAGACGUGUAAAACUUGCUGCUGCUGCUGCUGCUGCUGCUGCUGCAUGAAUGAGGAGCGUCUCAAAAACUGAGCGCACAGAGAGGACUGAGGUAAUGGAGGUGAAAUCGAUCGCUUUCCAUGGGGAGCACAAUGAGAGAGGGAGGAGGGAGGGAGGGAGGGAUGAGAGGAGCGCAGAGGGACACGGAUGAAAAUCCCCCGUUAAGAGCAGGGACAGAUAUGAUAAUGGGCGAGCCUCGAGUAGUCGUUCAUCAUUCACCACCUCCACCUGGCUGCUGCUGCACCUCUCUGAGUGCUGCUGCUGCUGCUGCUGCUGCUGCUGCUGGAGGAAGUAAAUGAAGAAAAAUAAUCUUCAUGUAGAAAUACUCUGUUACAAGUACAAAAGUAUAAGCAUCAAAAUAUGACAAAAUCUAACAAGUUAAAGCUCUCAUUACACGGCUCAUUUACAGCAUAGUUCAGAAUGUUGUAGCCUGGAUUACAUUAUUACA